rnacentral:rRNA from 1 species
GAUGACGCUGCGGGAGGCCUAACACAUGCAAGCCGAGCGGUAGAUCUUCUUCGGAAGAUUGAGAGCGGCGUACGGGUGAGGAACACGUGUGCAACCUGCCUUUAUCUGGGAGAUAGCCCUCCGAAAGGGGGAUUAAUAUUCCAUAAUAUACUGAUUGGCAUCGAUUAGUAUUGAAAGCUCCGGCGGAUAGAGAUGGGCACGCGCAAGAUUAGAUAGUUGGUGAGGUAACGGCUCACCAAGUCAAUGAUCUUUAGGGGGCCUGAGAGGGUGAUCCCCCACACUGGUACUGAGACACGGACCAGACUCCUACGGGAGGCAGCAGUGAGGAAUAUUGGACAAUGGGUGCAAGCCUGAUCCAGCCAUCCCGCGUGAAGGAUUAAGGUCCUAUGGAUUGUAAACUUCUUUUAUACAGGGAUAAACCUCUCCACGUGUGGAGAGCUGAAGGUACUGUAUGAAUAAACACCGGCUAACUUCGUGCCAGCAGCCGCGGUAAUACGGAGGGUGCAAGCGUUAUCCGGAUUUAUUGGGUUUAAAGGGUCCGUACGCGGACCGGUAAGUCAAUGGUGAAAGCCUACAGCUUAACUGUAGAACUGCCGUUGAUCUGUCNGUCUUAAUGUGGUUGAGGUACUGGAAUGAAUANUGNNCCNNUNAAAUCAUANAUUUANUNAAACCC